AGUGAACGCUGGCGGUAGGCCUAACACAUGCAAGUCGAACGGCAGCACAGUAAGAGCUUGCUCUUACGGGUGGCGAGUGGCGGACGGGUGAGGAAUACAUCGGAAUCUUCUUUUUCGUGGGGGAUAACGUAGGGAAACUUACGCUAAUACCGCAUACGACGUACGGGUGAAAGCAGGAGAUCUUCGGACCUUUCGCGAUUGAAUGAGACGAUGUCGGAUUAGCUAGUUGGCGGGGUAAGGGCCCACCAAGGCGACGAUCCGUAGCUGGUCUGAGAGGAUGAUCGGCCACACUGGAACUGAGACACGGUCCAGACUCCUACGGGAGGCAGCAGUGGGGAAUAUUCGACAAUGGGCGAAAGCCUGAUCCAGCCACACCGCGUGGGUGAAGAAGGUCUUCGGAUUGUAAAGCCCUUUUGUUGGGAAAGAAAAGCAGUGGAUUAAUACCUGGAUGUUUUGACGGUACCUAAAGAGUAAGCACCGGCUAACUACGUG
rnacentral:rRNA from 1 species